AAUCAGAAAGGAUGCUCAAUGGGACUUUGUCACGCCGAGAUAUCAGCAGCAAUCGGCAACGACAAAGCUCAAUUAUCUAUUGCAUAUUCAGAAGAAAGCAUCUGCUGUCGACAAUCAAGGCACUAUGACAGGUAGCUCAAGCCUAAGAUGCAAACAUCUCUAGGAAUGGAGUUGCUGACGGUAUGCAAAGAAUGAGACAAUGGUGAUGGUCAGGAUCGAUGUGUCAAGCAUCUGAGACAUAUCGACGUCAAGACAUGGAAGAGGGCUCUCUGCCCUUAUAGAUAGGCCUUCUUACCAUGCUACAUUACUAACCUGCACAAUUAAUGUGUAUCGAAAUUAACUUUGGAAGAACAUUAAGCAUGCAAACAUAGCUGUGGAGAAUCCUUGGAACAUCUUACCUGCAAUGUUAACUUAAACCUUCUGGAUCAGCAAAUGCUUCAUCCUUCUCUUCAAAUGUAAAUUCUACUGCCCAGAACAAACCAGUUUAAGAGUUACGGGAA